ACUGCGCCGCCGCAGUCAGAUUAUAAUCGAUGGUUACUGCUUUAUCUUUCCUGGUUGAUGAAAUCUGGCCUCCCUAUAUAGCAAAAUCAUCAGGUGUUGUAGAACGAUCGUUGGCUGUUCAGAGGAUUUCGGAAGAGAAUGUCGUCUCAGGGCAACAAGUCUUCAUCUCAUCGGGCUCAUUUGACUCAAAGAACCAGUUACACUACUAAAAAA